GCUGCCAUAGCUCAGUUGGUAGAGCGCGUCCUUGGUAAGGACGAGGUCGCCAGUUCAAGUCUGGUUGGUAGCUCCA
rnacentral:tRNA from 1 species